rnacentral:rRNA from 1 species
GGAAGGAUCAUUACCGAGUGUAGGGUUCCUAGCGAGCCCAACCUCCCACCCGUGUUUACUGUACCUUAGUUGCUUCGGCGGGCCCGCCAUUCAUGGCCGCCGGGGGCUCUCAGCCCCGGGCCCGCGCCCGCCGGAGACACCACGAACUCUGUCUGAUCUAGUGAAGUCUGAGUUGAUUGUAUCGCAAUCAGUUAAAACUUUCAACAAUGGAUCUCUUGGUUCCGGCAUCGAUGAAGAACGCAGCGAAAUGCGAUAACUAGUGUGAAUUGCAGAAUUCCGUGAAUCAUCGAGUCUUUGAACGCACAUUGCGCCCCCUGGUAUUCCGGGGGGCAUGCCUGUCCGAGCGUCAUUGCUGCCCAUCAAGCACGGCUUGUGUGUUGGGUCGUCGUCCCCUCUCCGGGGGGGACGGGCCCCAAAGGCAGCGGCGGCACCGCGUCCGAUCCUCGAGCGUAUGGGGCUUUGUCACCCGCUCUGUAGGCCCGGCCGGCGCUUGCCGAACGCAAAUCAAUCUUUUUCCAGGUUGACCUCGGAUCAGGUAGGGAUACCCGCUGAACUUAAGCAUAUC